rnacentral:rRNA from 1 species
AACGAACGCUGGCGGCAGGCCUAACACAUGCAAGUCGAGCGCCCCGCAAGGGGAGCGGCGGACGGGUGAGCAACGCGUGGGAACGUACCCUUUGCUACGGAAUAGCCUCGGGAAACUGGGAGUAAUACCGUAUGUGCUCUUCGGAGGAAAGAUUUAUCGGCAAAGGAUCGGCCCGCGUUGGAUUAGGUAGUUGGUGGGGUAAUGGCGUACCAAGCCGACGAUCCAGAGCUGGUCUGAGAGGAUGAUCAGCCACACUGGGACUGAGAGACGGCCCGGACUGCUACGGGAGGCAGCAGUGGGGAAUCUUAGAAAAUGGGCGCAAGCCUGAUCUAGCCAUGCCGCGUGAGCGAUGAAGGCCUAGGGUUGUAAAGCUCUUUCAGUGGGGAAGAUAAUGACUGUACCCACAGAAGGAGCCCCGGCUAACUCCGUGCCAGCCGCCGCGGUAA